UAGUCAUAUGCUUGUCUCAAAGAUUAAGCCAUGCAUGUCUAAGUAUAAGCGUUUAUACGGUGAAACUGCGAAUGGCUCAUUAUAUCAGUGAUCAUUUACUUGAAGAUACCUUACCAUCAGGAUAACCGUGGUAAUUCCAGAGCUAAUACAUGACAGUAGGGAGCUCUUGCUUGAGCUCUUGCAUUUAUUAGAUACGAAUCAACGACCAGUAAAAUGGUUACGCGAUGACUCAUGAUAACUUGGCGGAUCGCAGGGCCUUGCGCCGGCGACGUAUCAAUCAAAUUUCUGCCCUAUCAACUGUCGAUGGUAGGAUAGAGGCCUACCAUGGUGGUCACGGGUGACGGGGAAUUAGGGUUCGAUUCCGGAGAGGGAGCCUGAGAAACGGCUACCACAUCCAAGGAAGGCAGCAGGCGCGCAAAUUACCCAAUCCCGACCCGGGGAGGUAGUGACAAGAAAUAGUGAUGUGAGCCCCUUUGGGGGAUCACAAUCGCAAUGAAGAGAACUUAAAAAGCUUCAUGAGUAGCGAUU
rnacentral:rRNA from 1 species